rnacentral:rRNA from 1 species
UACGUAGGGUGCAAGCGUUAAUCGGAAUUACUGGGCGUAAAGCGUGCGCAGGCGGUUUUGUAAGUCUGUCGUGAAAGCCCCGGGCUCAACCUGGGAAUUGCGAUGGAGACUGCAAGGCUUGAAUCUGGCAGAGGGGGGUAGAAUUCCACGUGUAGCAGGUGAAAUGCGUAGAGAUGCGGAGGAACACCGAUGGCGAAGGCAGCCCCCUGGGCCAACACUGACGCUCAGGCACGAAAGCGUGGGGAGCAAACAGG